UACGGAGGGGGCUAGCGUUGUUCGGAAUUACUGGGCGUAAAGCGCGCGUAGGCGGACUGAUCAGUCAGAGGUGAAAGCCCUGGGCUCAACCCGGGAAUUGCCUUUGAUACUGUCAGUCUUGAGUCCGGGAGAGGGUUGCGGAAUUCCGAGUGUAGAGGUGAAAUUCGUAGAUAUUCGGAAGAACACCAGUUGCGAAGGCGGCAACCUGGACCGGUACUGACGCUGAGGUGCGAAAGCGUGGGGAGCAAACAGG
rnacentral:rRNA from 1 species